rnacentral:rRNA from 1 species
GGUUAGAGUUUGAUCCUGGCUCAGGAUGAACGCUGGCGGCGUGCUUAACACAUGCAAGUCGAACGGUGAAGCCCAGCUUGCUGGGUGGAUCAGUGGCGAACGGGUGAGUAACACGUGAGCAACCUGCCCCUGACUCUGGGAUAAGCGCUGGAAACGGUGUCUAAUACUGGAUAUGAACAAGAAUCGCAUGGUUACUUGUUGGAAAGAUUUAUCGGUUGGGGAUGGGCUCGCGGCCUAUCAGCUUGUUGGUGAGGUAAUGGCUCACCAAGGCGUCGACGGGUAGCCGGCCUGAGAGGGUGACCGGCCACACUGGGACUGAGACACGGCCCAGACUCCUACGGGAGGCAGCAGUGGGGAAUAUUGCACAAUGGGCGAAAGCCUGAUGCAGCAACGCCGCGUGAGGGAUGACGGCCUUCGGGUUGUAAACCUCUUUUAGCAGGGAAGAAGCGAAAGUGACGGUACCUGCAGAAAAAGCACCGGCUAACUACGUGCCAGCAGCCGCGGUAAUACGUAGGGUGCAAGCGUUAUCCGGAAUUAUUGGGCGUAAAGAGCUCGUAGGCGGUUUGUCGCGUCUGCUGUGAAAUCUGGGGGCUCAACCCCCAGCCUGCAGUGGGUACGGGCAGACUAGAGUGCGGUAGGGGAGAUUGGAAUUCCUGGUGUAGCGGUGGAAUGCGCAGAUAUCAGGAGGAACACCGAUGGCGAAGGCAGAUCUCUGGGCCGUAACUGACGCUGAGGAGCGAAAGGGUGGGGAGCAAACAGGCUUAGAUACCCUGGUAGUCCACCCCGUAAACGUUGGGAACUAGUUGUGGGGUCCAUUCCACGGAUUCCGUGACGCAGCUAACGCAUUAAGUUCCCCGCCUGGGGAGUACGGCCGCAAGGCUAAAACUCAAAGGAAUUGACGGGGACCCGCACAAGCGGCGGAGCAUGCGGAUUAAUUCGAUGCAACGCGAAGAACCUUACCAAGGCUUGACAUAUACGAGAACGGGCCAGAAAUGGUCAACUCUUUGGACACUCGUAAACAGGUGGUGCAUGGUUGUCGUCAGCUCGUGUCGUGAGAUGUUGGGUUAAGUCCCGCAACGAGCGCAACCCUCGUUCUAUGUUGCCAGCACGUAAUGGUGGGAACUCAUGGGAUACUGCCGGGGUCAACUCGGAGGAAGGUGGGGAUGACGUCAAAUCAUCAUGCCCCUUAUGUCUUGGGCUUCACGCAUGCUACAAUGGCCGGUACAGUGGGCUGCAAUACCGUGAGGUGGAGCGAAUCCCAAAAAGCCGGUCCCAGUUCGGAUUGAGGUCUGCAACUCGACCUCAUGAAGUCGGAGUCGCUAGUAAUCGCAGAUCAGCAACGCUGCGGUGAAUACGUUCCCGGGUCUUGUACACACCGCCCGUCAAGUCAUGAAAGUCGGUAACACCUGAAGCCGGUGGCCUAACCCCUUGUGGGAGGGAGCUGUCGAAGGUGGGAUUGGUAAUUAGGACUAAGUCGUAACAAGGUAACC